ensembl:snRNA U6 U6 spliceosomal RNA
GUGCUCACGUCAACUGCACGUAUCCUAAAAUCGGAACCAUGCAGACGAUGAGCACAGCUCCUGUGCAGGGAUGACAUGCAAAUUCGUGAAGUGUUCCAUUUUUUG